UACGAAGGGUGCAAGCGUUACUCGGAAUUACUGGGCGUAAAGCGUGCGUAGGUGGUUUCUUAAGUCUGCUGUGAAAGCCCCGGGCUCAACCUGGGAAUUGCAGUGGAUACUGGGAAGCUAGAGUGCGGUAGAGGGUAGUGGAAUUCCCGGUGUAGCGGUGAAAUGCGUAGAGAUCGGGAGGAACACCAGUGGCGAAGGCGGCUACCUGGACAGUUCCUGACGCUGAGGCACGAAGGCCAGGGGAGCAAACGGG
rnacentral:rRNA from 1 species